rnacentral:telomerase_RNA from 1 species
GUGGGGACGAACAAGCCGGACGGGCCAGCGUCCGUCGGGCUAAACCUAACCUAACCUCUAACUGUUAUGGUUGUUUUGCUUCCUUUUUUAAACCUUAUAAACAAAGGAUUAUCACGUCCCCACCGCAAUUUUAUAGCUACGUAAAUAAAAC